rnacentral:lncRNA from 1 species
AUUGUAGAAGAUUACUAAGAAUUAAAGAAAAAUAUAAAAAGUAAAACUAUAAAACUCAAGAGAGAAGAAUAAUAAUACAUGAUAUUACACACUAUACUUUCUUAAAUUUAUAACAAAUAAUCUUGACCUAGAUUAUUAAAGAUCUUGGACUUGCAAGGUCAAGAAAACUUGAAAAUUAUUUAUAAAGUUAAAAAAAUGAAAACAAAGACAUAAGAAGAAUAAGCUCAGGAGAGAUAUCGCCAUGAUGUUCACCACACUUCCCUUUGUUUUUGUAUAUUGUAACCAUCAUCUUCAUCUUGAAAGGCCAUAACAAAGAGCAUUGUAGCCAUUUCCUCUAUGAAACAGUACAUGGUGAGAAAAACCAGAGACUGGUUGAAGAAGUUGAGCUAAGGAAGGUUAAACUCAACUUGAAUACAUUUGCAUGUAUGAGAUGAGAUGUAAUCCAAUGUAAUGAAAUGGAAGUAUAUAUAAUGAAAACUCAAGAGUGUAUAAGAAACUCUUGUGACCCUUUAUGAUAGAUGAAGAAAAUCAGAGGGAAGGAAAUAAAAAUGCAAAAAAAGACAUGAAAGACAGAAGCAGUGAAUAUAAGUGAUGAUUACCUGCACAUAAAAUUAGGGUUGAUGUGUCGCUUUCUAGCUAGGGUGAGACAGAAAGGAUAAUGAGAGUUUGUUUUUCUUGGGAUUCAAAAAUGGAGUACCCUUUAUUCUUGCUAGGACCCUCUGCAUACCCUCUUAAAUUUUUAUGUCAGGUUCUUGGCCUACUCAUGCUGACAUUCUUGCUACCAAACAGCUAAUUUUUUUUUUUUCAUUUUGAACUGUGAAUUGUUUCUUUGGGUCAUUAGUUAUGUACUAUCAUGUUUUAUUGCAUUGUACCAUAUUCUUUUCAUUAGCUACAAUUUUGUGCAUAUAUUCGCAUCCUCUUUAAUCAUCAUGUAUAUUAUAUCCUACCCCUAUGUCCUACUAUACAAUUAGUACAAUCUUACGGUUUUGAAAAUACAAUUAAUCAAUACAUUGAUACUUUAUAGGUGAACUUGUCAGGCAUGGUUAUUUGUUGCUGUCAUAUUGGUAAACUGUACACUCAGUUUAAUUUUAGACAAAUUGAAAAUGUUCACAUUGUUUUUAUCAUAUAAUAUGUUAAUUAUUUUCACGUUCCACCUAAUUUUUGGUUUCUUAUGAUAAUAUUUUGCUUUUCUCGGUUUCACACUGAUGAUAAUCUUUGUAGCCUCUAUAUGACACUUGUUGCGUAUGGGAUUUGGAAACCUGAGGUCAAUAAGGUAAAAGCAUAUUUUAUUUCUAGUGUAUAUAUAGUUGAUGGAACUUUAAUUAACAUAUAAAUUCCAUAAAUUAUAACUAAAUGAAAAUGAAUGAUGGAAAUCUAUACUAAUAAAUACUCCAUCCAUCUCAAAAUAUAAUAAAAAAAUUAGGUGUUUUUAGUUUUAAUCUGGACUAAAUACAUCUAUUUUUUUUUAUAUUUUAGGGAUUAAGGAAGUAAUAUUCUAUAUUUUUAUAUAAUUAUGUGAUAUUUUCAGUAACAAAUUAUUGUCAUGUUAUUACAUAAUGCAUUAAAUUGCUCAUGCUAUUUUACCACAAACAAUGUAACCUCUAACACAUCUUGUGCUUAUGUUUUAUUGGUUCUGUUAAUAAUUUUGAUUCCCCUAGCUGUUAAAAUAUUAUUGUUACAUAAUAGGUUGAUUAUUUUUGGCUAAGUUUAAGGUUUGAGGCUUGUUUGUAUUAAGAGUAACUUUUUAGAAUAUAGCUAUCUAUGUACAGGUUGGAAUCUCCAUUGUACUCUCUUCAUAAAUACAUGUAUAUAUUUACAUUAACUUGAUUUUGUAAAAUUGAUUAAGUUAAAAUAAAAUCUGAAGUUAAAUGUAAAAAUUAAACGGUG